AUCUGUUUGCAUCUUACCGGGCAGCAUUUGAUGUUAAGGUCUAUUCUAAUACUGUCAGGUAAAGAUGUCGCCAGG
rnacentral:pre_miRNA from 13 species